AUCAACUUUCGAUGGUAGGAUAGAGGCCUACCAUGGUGGUAACGGGUAACGGGGUGUUAGGGCACGACACCGGAGAGGGAGCCUGAGAAACGGCUACCACAUCCAAGGAUGGCAGCAGGCGCGCAAAUUACCCAAUCCCGACACGGGGAGGUAGUGACAAUAAAUAACAAUACGGGGUUCUUUAGGAUCUCGUAAUUGGAAUGAGUACAAUUUAAAUCUCUUAACGAGGAACAAUUGGAGGGCAAGUCUGGUGCCAGCAGCCGCGGUAAUUCCAGCUCCAAUAGCGUAUAUUAAAGUUGUUGCAGUUAAAAAGCUCGUAGUUGAAUUUCGGGGUUAGUAAGUUGGUCAUGCCUUCGGUAUGUACUGGCUUCACUGAUUCCUCCUUCUUGACGAACCGUGAUGUCAUUAAUUUGGUGUUGCGGGAAAUCAGGACUGUUACUUUGAAAAAAUUAGAGUGUUUAAAGCAGGCUAACGCUUGAAUACAUUAGCAUGGAAUAAUGAAAUAGGACGUUAAUCCUAUUUUGUUGGUUUCUAGGAUCGACGUAAUGAUUAAUAGGGAUAGUUGGGGGCAUUAGUAUUCAAUUGUCAGAGGUGAAAUUCUUGGAUUUAUUGAAGACUAACUACUGCGAAAGCAUUUGCCAAGGAUGUUUUCAUUAAUCAAGAACGAAAGUUAGGGGAUCGAAGACGAUCAGAUACCGUCGUAGUCUUAACCAUAAACUAUGCCGACUAGGGAUCGGAUGAUGUUAUUUUUAAUGACUCAUUCGGCGCCUUACGGGAAACCAAAGUGUUUGGGUUC
rnacentral:rRNA from 1 species